ensembl:lncRNA
AUAGAAAUAAAAAUCUCAAGGCAAAUAUGCAUUUUCUGCUUCAAAGUACUUCAUAAACUCUGGUCAGGGCUUCCUAGCUGAAGAUUGGCCAAAAAUAUGAUAGCAAAACUAUAUUAAGGGAAACAUCAGUCUAACAUUCCAGCAUAAUUUACAUUAAGAUUAGAACACACACACAUUUGGUUAUUUAUAUGUAUGGAAGCAUUUAUGUAAAUGUAUAUUUGUAUAUAAAUAUACAAGUCUCUCCAAAGGGAGACUGCAAACCUGCUGUGCUAGAUGCUCUGCAUGUAACUAAUAAGGGAUAGGCAAUCCCCUAAACUACUUGCUGAUGGCUGAGAUUUAUCACAGCUCAGGAGUGUAUAGUGCCUUAUGUCAAGAAGACAAGUAUUUUGUCACAAAUUGCCUGAUACUUUAAUAUAUUAGUAUCAAAACAAUUUUAUAAACACAUUCUGCUCCAAGUAUCCCUGCUUAUAUGCAGCACGGGAAGCCUAAAUGCUUCUUAGUGACCCCAUAGUAAAAGCUGACAUGUCUGCCCACUGGUAUUUCAUACUGCCUUACUGGUUGCAUUGCCACGUGGCUGAGUAUCUGUGUGUAUCCUGAGUAUAUCUCAUCCUGGCAACUGGCUGUUUCUGUUCACCUCUGCAAGUCUAUCUCACAUGUACACUGGUCUGCUUAUCACUUUCCAGACAGGCCUUUGCUCUGAAACAUGACCCACGUUGAAAUACAGGCCCAAUUGGAAAGAAUGGAGACAAAGAGAGGAAAGAAAUCACUUCGGGAGAUGCAAAAUUCCUGCACAGUAUUUAAGAUUGAACAAUACAUUUUUUUAAUUGCUAUUUUAAUUUCUCUUUGUGCAUUUUUAUUGUUUAAAAUAAUAACUUGAACUUGUUGUUAUGUCAGUGCACACCAAGGUUUACAAGGUGGAGCAAAGAAUAGGCAGUUGUUGGCCAUUGUAUAACUGGGGAACCUCAACAUUAGAAAGCCGUGAAUGAAUUCCUGCACAUUUCCAACCCUAUGACACAAGCAAGAAGGGACUUUCUCAGUAAGAGCACAUGCCUAUUCCUACAACCCAAGAGCUGAUUUAUGAAUAUCAAAUUGCUCAGCUAUUGGCUGACAGUGAUGAAGGAUGAUGAGCUUCUAAACAGUGGAUGUUGAUGCACUUCUCCAUGCUAAGAGGAGCAGUGUUAAAAAUGAGGUGAGUUUUGCACGGAGGCUGAGGAUACCCUGAUGUCCUGUUGCAAUCAGAGCCUUACAGCACAGUCCUUUCUACUACUCCAGGCUAUUGUGCAAAGCAGCGUUCCACAGUGUGAAGGUCUACCCAAAGAAAGGUACAGGAAAGGCUUCUGCUUAAUUUUGUUCUCCUCUCCCAUCUCAGGGUGCUUAUUGUCUUGAUGGUGAAGUCAGUGCACAAUUUCAAAUGGCUUAUUACCAAUCUAUUUUAUUCUUUGAUGCAGAGAUCACUGUUUAUCCAUGCUGAGUGACAGUAUUUGACUUCAGAAAGAAAUGAGACUGUGGAAUGGUAAAGGAGACUGAUGGAAAUUUUAUUUUAACCCUCUCACCAAUCUUCAGCACUCUGUCACAUUCCAGGAGGAAUGUCAUACCACAAUGUGCUGUGGGUGACUGGGUUGCAGGCCACCUUUUCCCAACAAAUGAUGAUAUUCUGUUGGGCUACCAGAGUAUGAGGCAGUAAGAAUUCAGUAUACAAUCACUGUGCAAUCCAUGUGAAUUACUUUUUACUGGAAGCUGAAAUUGCAAAUAUUUUCUCAGAUGAAAGGAAGGAAAGAUGGUGAAAAAGAAGUAUUAGUAUCCCUA